AACGAACGCUGGCGGCAUGCCUAACACAUGCAAGUCGAACGAUUGCCUUCGGGUGAUAGUGGCGCACGGGUGCGUAACGCGUGGGAAUCUGCCCUUAGGUUCGGAAUAACAGCUGGAAACGGCUGCUAAUACCGGAUGAUAUCGCGAGAUCAAAGAUUUAUCGCCUGAGGAGGCGCCCGCGUUGGAUUAGGUAGUUGGUUGGGUAAGGGCCUACCAAGCCGACGAUUCAUAGCUGGUCUGAGAGGAUGAUCAGCCACACUGGGACUGAGACACGGCCCAGACUCCUACGGGAAGCAGCAGUGGGGAAUAUUGGACAACGGGCGCAAGCCUGAUCCAGCAAUGCCGCGUGAGUGAUGAAGGCCCUAGAGUUGUAAAGCUCUUUUACCCGGGAAGAUAAUGACUGUACCGGGAGAAUAAGCCCCGGCUAACUCCGUG
rnacentral:rRNA from 1 species